UACAGAGGUCUCAAGCGUUGUUCGGAUUCAUUGGGCGUAAAGGGUGUGUAGGCGGCGCGCUAAGUCGGGUGUGAAAUCUCGGAGCUUAACUCCGAAACUGCAUUCGAUACUGGCGUGCUUGAGGACUGGAGAGGAGACUGGAAUUCAUGGUGUAGCAGUGAAAUGCGUAGAGAUCAUGAGGAAGACCAGUGGCGAAGGCGGGUCUCUGGACAGUUCCUGACACUGAGACACGAAGGCCAGGGGAGCAAACGGG
rnacentral:rRNA from 1 species